GACGAACGCUGGCGGCGUGCUUAACACAUGCAAGUCGAACGGAAAGGCCCUGCUUUUGUGGGGUGCUCGAGUGGCGAACGGGUGAGUAACACGUGAGUAACCUGCCCUUGACUUUGGGAUAACUUCAGGAAACUGGGGCUAAUACCGGAUAGGAGCUCCUGCUGCAUGGGGGGGGUUGGAAAGUUUCGGCGGUUGGGGAUGGACUCGCGGCUUAUCCGCUUGUUGGUGGGGUAGUGGCUUACCAAGGCUUUGACGGGUAGCCGGCCUGAGAGGGUGACCGGCCACAUUGGGACUGAGGUACGGCCCAGACUCCUACGGGAGGCAGCAGUGGGGAAUAUUGCACAGUGGGCGGAAGCCUGAUGCAGCAACGCCGCGUGCGGGAUGACGGCCUUCGGGUUGUAAACCGCUUUCGCCUGUGACGAAGCGUGAGUGACGGUAAUGGGUAAAGAAGCACCGGCUAACUACGUG
rnacentral:rRNA from 1 species